rnacentral:misc_RNA from 1 species
GGAGCUAGGUCGUCUGGAAGUGACACACAUCAGGAAGGCAUCCGAGAGGUCCUUAGCGACUGCAUCCAGAUUAUGCUGUCGAUGGGAUUUAGCUAUGCACGAGUGAUAGAGGCUUAUAGCAUAUUUGGGGAUGAUGUGGAUUCCAUGGUAUGUUAUCUCAUCGAAACCAGCAAUAGCAGCAGACGUAAAGGAAAAGCAACUGAAUGAUGAGAUAAUAGUUUCUUCUUUCUGUCUAGUACUAGUAUGACUGUAUCUUAUCUCGCUGAAACCUUGAACGCGUUAUUUUCUGCCUUAAAUCUACCCACUGGUGUGUUUCGGGUUAUGGCGUUGGAGCUUGACUUCCUUUCUUCUCUGCUUCUACUUCUGGUAGUAGGGACUGAUAAAUGUUUGCAUCUUCAAAUAAUUUCUGUUUCACUUGGUGUUCUACAGACAGGUCCUCCUCAAUAAAUAAC